ACGGUUUGCCAUUGAAAGCUUGCUGGAUAUGGCAGAUAGUGGCGGACGGGUGAGUAACGCGUGAAUACCUGUCCAUCGGGGGGGGACAACGGCUGGAAACGGCCGCUAAUACCGCGUAAGCCGAGAGGUGAAAGGUGCUCUUCGGGGUGCCGCCGAUGGGGGGGGUCGCGUCCUAUCAGCUAGUUGGUGGGGUAAGGGCCUACCAAGGCGAAGACGGGCAGCCGGUCUGAGAGGGCGAUCGGCCACACUGGAACUGAGAUACGGUCCAGACUCCUACGGGAGGUAGCAGUGGGGAAUAUUGGGCAAUGGGGGAAACCCUGACCCAGCGACGCCGCGUGAGGGAAGAAGGUUUUCGGAUCGUAAACCUCUGUUGUACGGGAAGAAGGAAGUGACGGUACCGUACGAGGAAGCCCCGGCAAACUACGUGC
rnacentral:rRNA from 1 species